CCUCCCUGUCGCUUGCCAUUUCAACACCCCACCCUGCUCUCAUGCCCACAUGUCCGUCCUUGGCCUACUGCAAUGUUCUGUGGUGGCCUAAAGACAACUAUCGGGGGAGCCCACCAGUAUUGAAAGGGUUAAUGGAGCAAUUGAAUUAAAUGCUUGAGCCUAAGAGAAAAACACUGCAACCUUGAAGAACAAUAGCACCUUGUCUGACCACGAUAGUAGAACGGGCUUUGAGACAUUCCAUGUGUCUCUCUCUUGGGCCAAAUGUAAUCAAAGCUGUGAUAGUCAAAUUAUAAACAACUGCACCUGUGGUGUAGGAAUGGAAAUUCACUGGAACAUGGAUUGGUCAGUAAACUUAUGCAAAUAAAUGGAUUGAGAUGUACAAAAUUUACUGAUUGGUUGUAAAAUGCUUUUAAGCAAGUCUCUGUGUAUUCUGCUUUGAGAUGGUACAAUAGCUCUCGCUGUAUUGUUCUCCCUUGUGCACAAGUAAUAAACGACGAAAUGAUGCCUCGGUGUGAUUAAUCUCCGACGGUUUCUGGAGGUUCCACGGAGAUGACUAACCCCUGGGGUUGAGUCACGGAGCAGCAGCGUUAGGAACUCACGGUUCAGGGACUCCUCAGUCCACGGCAGCCCCACUUGGGCUUCUGGAGUUCGUUGACCUGCGAUCUGCCUUCGCCUGCCUCAUUGUGGCUGACUCUCAGGGUAGUAGAAGCUCAGAAAAAACCCACCAUUGAAGACUGCCAUCGAUACCAGCCCGGGGACCUAGUCCUGGUAAAGACAUUCAGGAGAAAGAACUGUUUGGAACCUCGAAGGGAGGGGCCUUUCCAAGUCCUGCUCACCACCCAUACGGCCGUGAAGGUUGAAGGAUGACCCUUGUGGAUCCACGUAUCGCACGUCAAGCAGACGCUGACCUCGGACAGAAGUGCUUGUGCAGGAACUUUAACUGAACCAUCAGAAUGCUGACUCUGAUUUGGAUCCUGCCCUGCGUGGUCCUUGCAGGGGCAUGGUCUACUAAUUCUGCAGUUCAACGCAUGCAGGUCGUAGCCUUGCAAACUAAUCAGACUGAUUGUUGGAUUUGUACUCAUUUUCCUGUUGACCCCUCCUCUGCAGAGAUGCAUUUUCUGGCUCUCCCUGUGGGUGCAGCAUGGCCCCGAGGCAAUACAGGGGCCCUCAUCCAUCGGGCACCCAUUUGGAGGCAGGAACCUACUUUUGUGGUUGUCAAGGGAAAGGCCUGGCUAUGUGUCAGAAGAAAUAAUACCAGGGGUAGUGUUCGGGUGGGCGAGCUGAAACAGGAUACCUGUGCCUACCUUGCUGAUUGUAACUAUCAGGAGACUCGAUUCCGAUUCUACAACCAUGCGGGUCCUAUGACUACCUUUUGGGAAUGUAAGGCUAAUGAGGUGAAGUGUCUUUCGCAGGUCCCAAAAUCUGAAGAUAUACUCUCAUAUUUUAAUAGGAAUAGGUGUGAUUGCCAACGGUAAUACCAUCUCACCCUAAACAAUUCCACCUCCCACUUGGACCUCUGAUGGCAACUAUACUGAAGAGUCCAAGUCUUGCAAUUACAAAAGUCAGUCCGGAUGCCCCGACUUGUUGGCUCUGAGGGUGUAAUGAUUCAGUCGGACCUGCCGUGUUCGUUGGUAUGCCCAGGCAAAAACUCUUGUCGUAGAGAGGUGGCUUAACUUUUGUCAAAAUUCUCUUGGUAUCCUACUCUUGUCCGCAAUGGUUCAUUUUGGUUCUGCGGGAACAGGGCAUACAAAACCCUCCCUGUCGAUUGGGCAGGCACCUGCACCAUUGGUUAUAUUGUCCCUGAGACCUUUGGGGUCAAGAACCUCUCCAUAACCAUCUAGAGCCUGUGAAGCAUCAUAAACGAUCAACCUGGAACCCACUUGUAACCCGCAACACCGGAUUCCACCAAUUUGUGAGGGCCUUUAUCCCAGGUCUAGGGGUCUCAGAGCUGGAAAAGGCCAUUAUCGAUAUUUCCGCCACCUUGGAACUUAUUGAGAUUAAGACCAUUGACGCCAUCCAGAAUUUGCAGUUAGAAACCAAGUCCCUUUUCAAGGUUGUCCUCCAGAACCGUAUGGCCCUAGGUUUCCUAUUAGCAGCGCAGGGGGGAGUCUGUACAGCUACUAAUGAGACAUGUUGUUUUUACAUUAACAAGGACCAGAGGAUUGAGACUGAUGUGCAUUUCAUUCAGGACCAAGUGUGCCUCCUCCAUGCAGUUGCCCAGGAGGAACCCAUUGACUGGUGGGGGUGGCUCCCUAAUAUCGGGGGAUGGUUUGGAGGCCCUUUUAAAAUCAUGCUCAAAUGCCUUGUUUUGCUUUGCUUAUUGUUUUGUAUGUUAUUAUUCAGCUUAUCCUCUGUUGCAUCCGCUCUAUCUGCCGACUGCAGAACUUCCAGAGCCCUAGUGAUAAGCAAGUUGUCUAUUCUCUCCCCAUCCUCCGGAAUCAGGAUUCCAUUGAGGAAGAGGCUCGGAGAUUAGGUUAUAUCGAACUUGGCUAAGAGUGGAGGAUUGUCCUUUCAGGACAAAGGGGGGAGUGUGGUGGCCUAAAGACAACUAUAGAGAGAGCCCACACGGUGUUGAAAGAGUUAAUGGAGCAAUUGAAUUGAAAAACACUGCAACCUUGAAGAACAAUAGCAUCUUCUCUGACCACGAUAGCAGGACGGGCUUUGAGACAUUCCAUGUGUCUCUUUCUUGGGCCGAAUGUAAUCAAAGCUGUGAUAGUCAAAUUAUAAACAACUGCACCUGUGGUGUAGGAAUGGAAAUUCACUGGAACAUGGAUUGGUCAGUAAACUUAUGCAAAUAAAUGGAUUGAGAUGUACAAAAUUUACUGAUUGGUUGUAAAAUGCUUUUAAGCAAGUCUCUGUGUAUUCUGCUUUGAGACGGGACAGUAACUCUCACUGUAUUGUUCUCCCUUGUGCACAAGUAAUAAAUGGGAUUUCUACAAUGAAAA